AGCGAACGCUGGCGGCAGGCUUAACACAUGCAAGUCGAACGCCCCGCAAGGGGAGUGGCAGACGGGUGAGUAACACGUGGGAACGUACCCUUUGGUUCGGAAUAACUUGGGGAACCUCAAUCUAAUACCGUAUAAGCCCUUAUGGGGCAAGGUUUACUGCCGAAGGAUCGGCCCGCGUCUGAUUAGCUAGUUGGUGAGGUAAUGGCUCACCAAGGCGACGAUCAGUAGCUGGUCUGAGAGGAUGAUCAGCCACACUGGGACUGAGACACUGCCCAGACUCCUACGGGAGGCAGCAGUGGGGAAUAUUGGACAAUGGGGGCAACCCUGAUCCAGCCAUGCCGCGUGAGUGAUGAAGGCCUUAGGGUUGUAAAGCUCUUUUACCCGGGACGAUAAUGACUGUACCGGGAGAAUAAGCCCCGGCUAACUUCGUGCCAGCCGCCGCAGUAA
rnacentral:rRNA from 1 species